rnacentral:rRNA from 1 species
AGAGUUGAUUCUGGCUCAGAACGAACGCUGGCGGCAUGCCUAACACAUGCAAGUCGAACGAGACCUUCGGGUCUAGUGGCGCACGGGUGCGUAACGCGUGGGAAUCUGCCCUUGGGUUCGGAAUAACAGUGAGAAAUUACUGCUAAUACCGGAUGAUGACGUAAGUCCAAAGAUUUAUCGCCCAAGGAUGAGCCCGCGUAAGAUUAGCUAGUUGGUGGGGUAAAGGCCUACCAAGGCGACGAUCUUUAGCUGGUCUGAGAGGAUGAUCAGCCACACUGGGACUGAGACACGGCCCAACUCCUACGGGAGGCACAGUGGGGAAUAUUGGACAAUGGGCGAAAGCCUGAUCCAGCAAUGCCGCGUGAGUGAUGAAGGCCUUAGGGUUGUAAAGCUCUUUUACCAGGGAUGAUAAUGACAGUACCUGGAGAAUAAGCUCCGGCUAACUCCGUGCCAGCAGCCGCGGUAAUACA